rnacentral:tRNA from 1 species
GCCUGGGUGGCUCAGUUGGUUGAGUGUCUGACUUUGGUUCAGGUCAUGAUCAGAGUUCAAGCUCUGUGUCGGGCU